rnacentral:rRNA from 1 species
ACGAGAAUAUUCGACAAUGGGCGAAAGCCUGAUCGAGCGACGCCGCGUGAUGGAUGAAGUCCUUCGGGACGUAAACAUCUUUUAUGCGUGAGAAAGUUAUUGAUGUUAGCGCAUGAAUAAGAGGCUCCUAACUCUGUGCCAGCAGGAGCGGUAAUACAGAGGCCUCAAGCAUUAUCCGGAAUCACUGGGCGUAAAGGGUGUGUAGGCGGUCGUGUUAGUCUUUCGUGAAAGGCUUUGGGCUUAACCCAGAGACCGCGGGGGAAACGGCACGGCUUCGAGGACGCGAGAGGUAGAGGGAACUCAUGGUGUAGGGGUGAAAUCCGUUGAUAUCAUGGGGAACACCAAAUGCGAAGGCACUCUACUGGCGCGCUCCUGACGCUGAAACACGAAAGCGUGGGAAUCGAACGGGAUUAGAUACCCCCGUAGUCC